rnacentral:snRNA from 1 species
GUGCUCACUUCAGCAGCACAUGUACUAAAAUUGGAACAACACAGAGAAGAUUAUCAUGGCCCUCGUAUGAGGAUGACAUGCAAAUUAGUGAAGUGUGUUUCAUAUAA